rnacentral:rRNA from 1 species
UACGGAAGGCAGCAGUGGGGAAUAUUGCACAAUGGGCGAAAGCCUGAUGCAGCUAUGCCGCGUGUAUGAAGAAGGCCUUAGGGUUGUAAAGUACUUUCAUCGGGGAGGAAAAAACAAAACUAAUAAUUUUAUUUCUUGACGUUACCCGAAAAAGAAGCACCGGCUAACUCCGUGCCAGCAGCCGCGGUAAUACGGAGGGUGCUAGCGUUAAUCAGAAUUACUGGGCGUAAAGAGCACGUAGGUGGUUUUUUAAAGUCAGAUGUGAAAUCCCUGGGCUUAACCUAGGAACUGCAUUUUGAAACUGAAAUACUAGAGUAUCGUAGAGGGAGGUAGAAUUCUAGGUGUAGCGGUGAAAUGCGUAGAUAUCUGGAGGAAUACCUGUGGCGAAAGCGGCCUCCUAAACGAAUACUGACACUGAGGGUGCGAAAGCGUGGGGAGCAAACAGGGAUUAGAU